GUGAAGCAGGUCCUCCUGGCCCACCUGGAAUUGUUAUAGGCACAGGACCUUUGGGAGAAAAAGGAGAGAGGGGCUACCCUGGAACUCCGGGGCCAAGAGGAGAGCCAGGCCCAAAAGGUUUCCCAGGACUACCAGGCCAACCCGGACCUCCAGGCCUCCCUGUACCUGGGCAGGCUGGUGCCCCUGGCUUCCCUGGUGAAAGAGGAG
rnacentral:misc_RNA from 1 species